rnacentral:rRNA from 1 species
AGACUCUGUGCGCGUGCAUAUCAAUAAGCGGAGGAAAAGAAACUAACAAGGAUUCCCUUAGUAACGGCGAGUGGAGCGGGAAGAGCUCAAAUUUGAAAUCUUCAAGGUUUUACCUUGACGAAUUGUAGUUUAAAGAAGUGUUUUCUGUUGGAGUUUUGGUAAAAGUUCUUUGGAAUAGGACAUCAUAGAGGGUGAGAAUCCCGUAUUUGACCAUUAUUUCCAGCUGUGUGAUACACUUUCGAAGAGUCGGAUUGUUUGGGAAUGCAGUCCAAAAUGGGUGGUAAAUUUCAUCUAAAGCUAAAUAUUGGCGAGAGACCGAUAGCGAACAAGUACCGUGAGGGAAAGAUGAAAAGAACUUUGAAAAGAGAGUUAAACAGUACGUGAAAUUGUCAAAAGGGAAGCGUUUGACACCAGUGUUGUUUUCUCGAAAAUCAAUUAAAAAUGAUGGGAUUUUGUGUCGUAUUGACUUUAUCAGCUUUCUGCACUUUUUUCUUAUCUUUUUUAAUGCACUUUUCGUUUAACAAGUCAACAUCAAUUUCUUUUGUUGUAAAAGAGUCAUUGGAAGGUGGCUUUUUCUUCGGAAAAAGUGUUUAUAGCCCUUGGCUUCUGCAAUCGGAGAGAUUGAGGUCUGCAGCGUAGAUCCUUCGGGGUUAGAUACAUUUGUGCUAAGCUAUAGUUCUUUAUAGACAACUUGUUGACUAUAAUCAAUCCUGUAACUUACUCGCUUAUGCUAUUUUACCUACGCUUAGGAUGUUGAAGAUGUAGCACAUCAU